ACUCGUUCCCGCCCUGUGAGCUGGCCGCGUGUCCUACUCAUAUUGCCUGGAGAGCCCUGGCACGCUGCGGAGCCUCGAGAAAUAUUUGUCGGAUGAGUGACUGUCCUUCAUGACGGUGGAGUCUGGGGGUUCACUAAUUGAGGUAGGACAUGCAAGGAGAUGUAUUGGAGCUGUGUGUGCAGCCCCACCCAAGCCCUGGAGCUGGGAGGAUGAGCUGGAGGCAGGGAGAUGGAUAACCUUGUGACCUCGUGUGGGUCUGAGAUGCUUCAGAUCAGGCUCUGAGGGAAGGUGGGUCCCUGAAACUGGCUGAGUGCAUCUUAGGGAGCAAGUGCGUGUGAUGUCAUCCCAGGAAUGCAGUGAAGGCUCAGCUGUGCUGCCCAGGAACCUGUGAGGAGUCACAACAUUGGCUGCGGUAAUUGGAGGCACCGAGGAUGGGCAGGGAGGGGCCUGAGACAAGGUGGGCAGGAAGGGAAGGGCUGGCCCAGAGGAGGUGCUGCUCUCUCUCCCGGAUUCUCCACUGUCCGCAGCUGCUCCACCUCCACAUCUCUGGAGUUGGCCCUUGUCCCGCGGCCAUCAAAGGGCCCCGCUGCCAUGACGGACACGCCAGUCGAGGAAUCCCUCUUCCAAAUCAUCCACAGCUACCACCAGUACGCGGCCCGGGAGGGGGACGUGGAGACCCUGUCCCUGGAGGAGCUGAAGGCCCUGCUCAGGGACAACGUGCCCCGCUUCAUGGAGAGCCUGGUUGUCUCAGACUAGCCUAGGGGCCCAGCCCCGAGUCUAGGCUGCUCAGCCACCCUGCUCAGGCCUGGAAUCUCCUCUGCCAUCAGGACGAGCCAUGUGAUUACCCGGCUCCUGGGGAUGCAAGGCCAACCCGAGUGUCUGUCCUCGGUGCCAUGCCCCCGGGUGAGUCAAGGCUGCUCAUCCGGGACAAGCACCCCUCGUCCCUGCGGGUCUGCCUUGCCUCCCUUUGGGGAACAUCAGAGGAGAGUCUGGUCCUGGGCUUAUCGGAGCGCAGCCACGAGGUCACAGAGCAGGGACGGGGGGACUGUGAUUAGGCCCCUGUUUCUAGGGAAACCUUUCCACCUGGGUACGGGGCCCACGGGGCAGGCACCUGGGCACAGGGCGGAGAUGGCGGCCUGGGCAGGUGGGCUGAGUGAGGGGAGCCUGGGAGAGCUGCCCCAGGCAGGAGGCCUGUGCUCUGUGGGGUCAGCCAGCUCUGUGGAGGGGACAGGUUAAAGGAAGUAGCUGGUGGAGGGUGGUGGGGGGGACAGAGGGUGCCAGUCUGCCCCAGGGUGGGAGCUGCCCUCCAGGCCCCCAGCUGUUUCCUGAGGCAGUGACUUCCCUCCCGGAGGCUUUCUGAGGGCUGCACCCUGGGUCCCCGCCUCCAGCCCAAUCCUGCUGAAACCUGCUUCACUGCCCCUGCCCUGCCCGGGGCUCUCCUCAUCGUCGCCUGUCCUGUCUCCUCCAUGCACGCUGACCAUUGACCUCCUCCCUGCUGUCCCUUCCACCUCGAAAGCUCCUUUGCUCUCCUAUGCCACCCCCGGUCCUGAGCCCUCAGGGCCACUGCUCUGGGACAUCGGACAGUCCCAGGGCCCAUGGCGGUGGCCUUCCCCCAUUCUGCACUUCCCUGAGGACACAGGCCAGUUGCCAUGAACAAUCCUGGGCGGAUGGCACGCCCUGCGGGAAUCCGACCCACUGGGUGCCGACCUGCAAUGGUGCUGGAGGUGCAGCCUGAGGGACAGGUGGGCGGUGACUCCACAGCUCCCGGUGUGCAGCCCCAGGCUGGGCGGCCCCUGCAGGGUGUAUGUGCAGCUGGGAAGACAGGCUUAAAAGCCCCCAGCAGAGGGCAGCCCUGCUCAGCCACUAGCCGGCCAGCCAGCAAGCGGUGCCCAGUCUGCACCAUCUGUCUGCCCAUGCGGCCCAGGUCCAGGUGCCGGCACCCUGUGCCCCUUCUGCCUGAUUCUGCCGCGCAGUGUCCUGGCCACCGAGUGAGCGAGGAGCUGUUUCCCGCGAGCCCCUGGCAGGCAGGGCCAAGUUCCUCACCAGUGGGCGGUGGAGCCGGACCAUCUGCCCGGGCCGAGUGCCUGGGGGCUGGCUGACCCUC